GACGAACGCUGGCGGCGUGCUUAACACAUGCAAGUCGAACGGAAAGGCCCUGCUUUUGUGGGGUGCUCGAGUGGCGAACGGGUGAGUAACACGUGAGUAACCUGCCCUUGACUUUGGGAUAACUUCAGGAAACUGGGGCUAAUACCGGAUAGGAGCUCCUGCUGCAUGGUGGGGGUUGGAAAGUUUCGGCGGUUGGGGAUGGACUCGCGGCUUAUCAGCUUGUUGGUGGGGUAGUGGCUUACCAAGGCUUUGACGGGUAGCCGGCCUGAGAGGGUGACCGGCCACAUUGGGACUGAGAUACGGCCCAGACUCCUACGGGAGGCAGCAGUGGGGAAUAUUGCACAGUGGGCGGAAGCCUGAUGCAGCAACGCCGCGUGCGGGAUGACGGCCUUCGGGUUAUAAACCGCUUUCGCCUGUGACGAAGCGUGAGUGACGGUAAUGGGUAAAGAAGCACCGGCUAACUACGUG
rnacentral:rRNA from 1 species